CCGUGUCCAUUCCCGACCAGGAUAGGGAGUGUGGGAUGAAGGUCCUGACUCCACCCCGGCCCUUAAGGAGAGAGUGGGGCAGCGCUUCUUUUCCAAAAGGCCGCGAUCAUUUCGGAAUCGAUUUAUUUUGGGGUGAGAAAGGAGUUGUCGGAAAGCUUCGGCUCAAGUCAUAAAACGAAGUGUCCCUUUGGCUGCAGUCCGGUUAUAAACGACCACCAUCAAAAACCCAAACAACGCCCAUCCCCAGCACAACAGAUCGGCCAAAACAGCAAACGGGGCAGAUCCCCCCUCUCCACCUCCGGCAGUUUUGGGUUUGUUUCAUGCAAAAGAAGCACACAUUUCGCUUUUUUUUUUCAAGCCCCCAGUUCAAAGGGUCGGAAACGCGGCCAUAAACAGCGGCUUCACCCUCCGAGGUGCCGUGAUCAAAGCCGUUCCCUUUCUAAAGAUAAAAUGAACGUUUAUAUAGUGAGAAAGCGAGAUUGAUUUACGGAUUUAAACACGCCGGUCUUAUUGCGGAUCAUAAAUCUGUCACAGGGGCUGAGAAACUCCGAAAGUCGGAGAGGAGCCGCUUUUAAAGAGCCCCGGCCCCAUACCUGGGCUGCAGAGCCCCCUCCCUCCCCCCCCCAUCCCUCGCACUUCCCAUACAGCCGUACAGACCCACGCACAAGAAUAUAUUUAGGAUGAUUUCCAAUGAUUUCCCCUAUUUCCCUUCUCUCCCGUAACUCAUUCUCGCUUGGAUUGGGUUACUGCGAUUUCUCUCCCCGUUUUUUAGUCCGAUUUGGGGACGAGGAGGAGACAAAGGGGAUCAGGCACCGGAGCUGGGGGUUCCCUACCCGGGGUAGGACCCCCCCUCAAUCAGUUGGCUCCGGAGCGCCUUGGGCGGAGGGGGAAGUGCGGGGGGAGGUGGGGGCCGGUGGGGGCGGCUCGGAAACAAAGGAAUUUCUGAAAACGGGAGACGAGAGGCGACGUGCGAGGAAAGUGGCCUCGGUGGGUGGGGGACGGCUCGGCUUUGUUGAGAUUUGUUUGUUUGUUUGGUGUUUUAUUCCCCCGCUCCCCUCAAUUUAUUUAUAUUUAUUUGGUACAGCGAACAGUCAGCUGCGCAGAGCCAGACCACAGCCUCGCUCCAGACCCCCAAACGCCUUUCUCUGCCUCUUGUCUCUCGUACAAAGAAGCAGACAAACAAGCCAACACUGAGAGCUCUCGGCCCUUUCAAGUGAAGCGGAGAGAAAGAUGAGGGGAAUACAGUUCUUUUUGAGGGACGGUGAGGGGCAAAAAAUAAUAAGUAUAAGGCCAGCAACCCCCAGACCAACAAAUUCUCCCGUGCUGAGCAGAAUGACGGCGCUCCCGGUCUCUUCCCACCUUCCCCGCCGCUGCUCGGGGGCACAGGGCCGCUCCGCACACGCGGAUUUCCCCGCAGUCCGGGCUGCAGCCACUGCCCGCACAAUGUCCGGCCUCGGGGAGGUCAAGGGGUUUGCGAGGUCAGCCCCUGCCCGUAAUACACAGCUAAUCGCCCAGAAAACGUGUCCUCUGCGUGAACCCUCAGCCCCCGAACGCCGCUGCAGGCGCUGAGUUUUUCCUCCCCUGGUUUGCAGCCACCAAUGCCCCGUGGCAGAGAUGUGGCCGGGCUAUGGGGCACUCCCGGGACACCCGAAGUCCCCCCUCCGUCCCUCGAUAGCAGCCGCAGCCCCGGCGCUCCGCACAGCCCCGAUUCCUUGGGACCUUUCUGCAAAGCAUUCCCCUGCGCGGAAACGAACGGGGAGGACACGAACGGAGGAGGAAAAAUAAAUAAAUCAAAUUAAUAAAAGGAAAGAAAGAGGUGAUUAAAAAAAGAGAGAGAGAGAAAGAAAAGAAGGAGAAAAAAAAAAGAAAAGAGGAAAUAUGGAGGAAUCACCCCCAAAGCACGGAGGGGGACACGCGCAGCACCGCGGGGCCGAGGAGGAAACUCGAGGAGGAAAACUCUCCCGCUACAGCCCGCUGCCUGCAAACGUCCCUGCUUGGUCACAAUAAACAGCGAAAACAGAAGGAAAACCCCGCACGAGCAUUCACGUGUUGGUUUUCUCUCUGCCCAUUUCCCCCCCUUUUUUCUCUCUCUCUCUCUUUUUUUUUUUUAAUGUUGUUGUCCUCCUUUUGCUUUCCCCGAACUUUCUGGUGAAAGGAGGCAAUAAAACGAUCAGAAAUGCAUGCCAAGAGAGCAGCUCUGUUACCUGGUUCGCUCCCACAUCCUUUUUCCAACGCCCCAGAGACGGCCCUCAUGGUUUGGGUGGUUUCUUCCAAAGUGAGAGGUCUGGGGGAGGGGGGGCUUGGGUGAGGGUUUGGGUUUUCUCCCCCAAAUAUAAAGCUUUCACCUUUACGAUCCAGAUUUUAUUAUUAGUAUUAUUAUUUCCCCUGAAGAUUCUGGUCGAACUCCGGGUGCUUUUUCCCCAACAGACGGUCUGCGGAGAUUUGCUGUUGAAUAACAAUGGGAAAAGGAUAAGUAUUUAAAGAAAAGAAGUGAUUAAUGAUUUUCUGUAUAAUUCUCGCAUUUUUCUUGGCUUCUGUCUGCUUAUAAUGGCUGUGAACUUUUAGGUCCUAUAGAAAUCUUCUUUUCUCCCCCUUCUAUUCUAUUCAUACUUUCCAGCUUUGAUUUGCUUCUAUAGACCCCGCAUUCCUGGAAGCAUAUGCUUUUUUUUUUUUUUUUUUUUUUUUUUU